rnacentral:misc_RNA from 1 species
AGUUCUGAGUAUUUUUAAAUGAAUUUUGAAGUAUGGACAUUUAGCACUAGUGUCUAUGGGAAUUUAUUUGCAGGCGCGCACCCUAUAGAUCCUGAGUGGUGGCGGCCAUGUUGUUAUGACGGGGGAUUUCAACGUGUGCUUUUUAUUGCUGUAAGUACAAAAUAAGCUUAAAUUGAGUUAAAAUAAAUAUGAAAACAAACAUUUUACACUCUGUAUCUUUGAUUUUUCAGGUUUUUAUUCAAAACACACUGUGGAAGUUAGCAUUUACAUGUAAGUGAACCGUUAAAAAAAUGUAAACAAUGAGUCAUUCACCCCAGUCUGUGCAUGUUCUUAUUUUGUUUCCAUUUCGGGGUAUUUUAAUUGGUUAUUAUUGAAAUCGAACACAGAGAAGGCACAGUUCUUUCUUUAUUCAGACAAAAAUAAGUGAAUAAUAUUGUUUGUACUUGUUUGAGCUUGUACAAAUCAAAUUUUGACUUGUAAUAAAAUGGAUGGUGAAGGGUGGACAUUCACAUCCAAGGUAAAAAACUUUUAGCCAAUGGAUUUCUGGGCUCCUGAAAAACACUGAGACAAAAUGGCCGACAUGGAGUCGUGGUGCGCCAGAAUUAAAUGGGCGAUUGCAAAAAAGAGCAGAUUUCAGCCUUCAAAAGGAUGCCGGCUUUGGCGGGGAUGCAUAAAAAAAUCCUAUGGCAUCAUUUCAAUGAAAAUGCCAGGCUCGAACAAACGCACUCUGAAGUCUGUGCACAGGGCGGCUUACAUGGCACACACCGGAAAUGUAAAUUUGCCACGGGAGUGGGAUGUAAGUCACCUGUGCCAGAAUUCAUUGUGCGUUUGUUUCGAGCAUUUGUCCCUUGAACCUAGGGCUGUAAAUAAUAGCAGAAAGUCUGCAAACGACUCAAGCAGUGCCAAGGGCACGAUGGGUACCGGGAGUGCCUGCUUUAAGGUAUCGUAAUGAACAAUAAAUUUGUCAGUUACAUUCCAAAAACAUAAUUUAAAAACGUUUGCAGUAAUUGUGUUCAGAUUGGAUGAUGUGGCAGACAUUUUUCAAACCAUCGUCUGGCUUAGGAUCCAGUUGGCCACGUUUAUACAGUGGCCGUGUGGCAUAAUACAGCUGGAAUCUUUGAGAACGCAAUUGUGCUCUGCGUGUUUUGUACUCCUGACCUUUAGCACGUUUAACAUACUGUUUUUGUUUCUUAUCCAUUUCAGCAAGGGCUUUUGCAGCUGGGGAGCCUGCAGUUACUGGGCAACCAGCAGCUGCGCACUUUUUGACUAUUGAAUUGGCGUGUCUGUUAUUCACCAAGUGCACUGCGCUAUGGUCUCGACAAGAACCAUUUCUUGAGAAGGUUAGUGUGGCCUUAGGGUUGGUUACUGCAAAGGCAUGGUUCAUUGAUUCUGCUUUUUGAGUACUGGUGCCAUAUUUAGUUUUUUCAAGGGCUUCUUGGCCAAGUCGUUUGCCUAGGAGUUUGAUGAGAGUCUGUUCAUCACAAGUUGCUAAUUUCAGUUUGCCACGGGCAUCGACUGGCAGGCUACUUAUCGAGGGAACAGUUGUGUCCAUUGCAGACAACAGCCGCCUAGCCCCAGCAGCUGCAAUGCCGGUGUUGUAAAGACCAACCUGGAACGCCAUGUUGGGAGUGGCAGUCCGUCGUCCUCUCCCCGUCUGUGGAAUUUCGGUGAACAGUUUUGUCUUGUCAGUGCAGAACCCACACUUUUGGCAGGACAGUACCUCGGACACAGCCAAACCUCGUCGCUCCUCAGCAUCUGGCAUCAAUGUGGGCCGGCCGCUGCAAUCAGGAUGUGUGCGUUGGUGAUCUAGGAUAGCCUGCGCUCCCAAGUCGACUGCAGAAUUGAUGUCGACGAACCGGUAGGCUGCUCGCUUCCCUCCAUCUGACUGAUCAGCUGGGCUCUGGUGCUGGAGUUCUCUUCUACAGAGGGGCUGUGGUACUGC